UACGUAGGGCGCAAGCGUUGUCCGGAAUUAUUGGGCGUAAAGAGCUCGUAGGCGGCUCGGUAAGUCGGGUGUGAAAACUCUAGGCUCAACCUAGAGACGCCACCUGAUACUGCUGUGGCUAGAGUCCGGUAGGGGAGCAUGGAAUUCCUGGUGUAGCGGUGAAAUGCGCAGAUAUCAGGAGGAACACCAGUGGCGAAGGCGGUGCUCUGGGCCGGUACUGACGCUGAGGAGCGAAAGCUAGGGGAGCGAACGGG
rnacentral:rRNA from 1 species